rnacentral:lncRNA from 1 species
UUGCCGUGGCCUGUCAAGUGAAUUGGUUUUGUUUUGUAUGUUUUUCUAGGGUUUUUGAGACAGCGAGAGAGCCCUUGCCGUGGCCUGUCAAGUGAAUUGGUUUUGUUUUGUAUGUUUUUCUAGGGUUUUUGAGGCCUGUGCCGCUGCUGCCGGUUUGCGAUCCAAAUCGGAGGUGCUGUGUCAAUGCUGGUGUCUUUGCUUCUGAGAACCCCAUCGCAAGUUGUUAUUUGUCAUUCUUCUUUCAUAACUUUGGUAUUCUCAUGCAGGAUGUGUCUCCGCUUUUGGCUCUUCAUCGCGUUACUGUGAGGAGUUCCAUCAAAUCAAGGUAUUUGUAGUCCAUAGAAUUUGUAUGGUCUUCAUUUUUACUCCACUGUGAGGAAAUGGGAUGAGGUGAUUUAAACUCUUAAACGCUUUGAAGCACAUUCUCUCGGCACAGCCUUGCUCACCUGGACGUGAAGCUUGACAACAUCUACAUUUGCAAUUGCAUCUACAAGAUUCACUCCAAGACCGUGCUGCCGAGGUAGAUGUGACAACCACAAAGUUACUACUGCUCGAUGAGCAAGACAGGAAGCUAAACAGCACCGCUUCCACGACCAACCUCAAUGGAGUUCACGUUAGCUUGGACUCCCCCGAGGCUCCUGGAAAGUCCACGAAUCAUGGAGC